AUUCAGCUGACGAAACCCAAAUAGGACGAAACGUACAUCCUGGAU
rnacentral:hammerhead_ribozyme from 1 species